ACUUAGCCAAAAAAAAAAAAAAACUCCUUAAGCGAUAACUUUACUCUCUCAAAGUCAAGAAAUCCCCAAAUCUUCUUUUAUCAAAACCUAAGUGAUACGGUAAGCUAUCGAUAACACAGAAUUCGUCGCACGAAUUCUCCAUUGUCGGAGGAGAGACCUAAUAUCAGCCUUAGGUCUCUCGUCUAUGAGUUCUUGUGCAGCAGAGAAGUGUGGUAUCUUUGAUAUAUGUAGUUCGUCCGUUGCUAGGAUUGAGUUUGUUCUUUUUCUCUGUGACCAAUUUCAAAAUUAGAAUCUCUUGCCAAAGCAUCAAGAUGUGGAGAGUCAACUUAUCCUUUUCAAAAAGGAGUAUAUCUGUCAGUCACUAAAGAAGAAAUCUUCAACCCCGCCCUGAUUCCACCUCUACGCUCUCCACCAUUUCACCAUGCUUGAUGGAGGACCGCGUUGAACGUACAUCUCAAGCAGAGGAAAAACUUAGGAGCUAAAUCAUGUCGGUAGUGAAUCUCUAUUUGUAGAGUCUCUUGUUCAAUAUGCUACAGAUCAUUGUUGUUGUGGUUCAGGAGGCCACCCCUUGUUGGAACCUUGUUUGGUAGGCUGGAAUGUUAUCUAUGAUUAUUGGAGAGGGAGCUAACUUUGCCGCUUAUGCAUAGGCCCCGACAAUACUUGUGCACGCCUAGGGGCUUUAAGUAUGAUUGCCAGCAGCAUUGUUGAUGUUGUUGGAUAACACCUCAUGAAUUUAGACUUCUUUUGGGAUUUUGAAGAUUGAAGUUACAAGUCAAGAUGAAGUUUAGAAAAUGCACAAGCUCAUUAUUAAUUUUCUAGGAAUGUAUUGCAAAACUUGAUAUCAUAGUCUAGCUCGGGAUGUUAGCUUAGUUCUUUUGUUUAGGUGUUGAGCACAUAUUGAAACUAACAUCAUGGGAUGUUAACCAUUUUAUUGUAAUUAAUAACUCGUCUUUCUGUCCAUAUAAAACUUUUUUAUAUCUA